AAAAAAACCCCAAACUUUACUUGCAUUUAGCCGUUAAUAAAUAAUUUACAAUAUGUACAUGCGGUGACACUCGACACAGGUCGCAGACACAAGGACGCAGUGAGGAGUCCCCACUUCCAAGCAGAACGCGAUCAAACACAACCAAAAUAAAGUGCUUCACUUUUUACUUCCAACAUAGGGACCAUCUAAAAACCAGCAGGGCGGGCGGGGCCGCGCCUCCCACCUGCCGGCCCCUGCUGGGGCAGAGAGGGGACCUCUUGGAGGGGAGGCAGGGAGCCUCCUGGGCCAGUGUAUGAGAGGUCCCUGGGGAACAGCAGGAGGGCUGCCAGGCUGGGGGGCCAGGUCGGUGUGGGGCUGUGGGAACCGCCCUCCUGGACCUUUGGGAGUGGAGCCCGAGCCGGCCUUGGCCCCUGGGCUCUCUGGAACAGCAGCAGAGGCAGGGCCUGGUUCAGGGCUCCUCGGUGGGGGCCAGGGCUCUGGGUGGCAAGCGUCUCCGGGCUGUGUGGCCACGGGCUGGAGGGCGGGGACUAGGGGGACGGGACCCUCCAGGGAUGCUCAUGGUGGAGAAGCUCGCAGACCCUGCUCCUCCGCCUCCCCAGCGCGGACGUGGGUGGCCGGGCGGGGGGCGGGGCUUGGCGGGCAGGUGGGGAGGGGCGAGGAUCAGGGCAGGCCAGCUGGCCCUGUCCGCCGCGUCUCCCGCCCGCGCCCUGCGGGCCCAGCUCCCUGCCCAAGGGCUCUUGCCACCUGCUGGAGAGAAGGGAACAGGGAUCAAGGGCUAGAAACGAGGACGUGAGCUCCCGAGCACAGUGGACAACGGGGGGCCGGGGAGGCCCGUCCGGGGCCACGAGUGGCGUCGCUCAGACCUCGUGCUGACAGCACCGCUGCCCCUGGGGAGCCUGCGGCCCGGGCCCUAAGCGGGGACCCGCGCGCGGACACAGGCCGCCGGGCUGCGCGCGGCCGCUCUCCGGGCCCCGGCGGGCGCCACCUGCUGGUCAAAGGGGUUACAGCCCGCUGGAGGCGCCGAGCAGCCGCCGCCCCGACUCCCGGAGUCGUCCCAAAGCCCGAGGGGAAAGGAGGCCCUGCCUGGGUUGGGGGGGGGGGGGUCCAGCCUCGCGGAGGCCUGGGCACCUCGGCCUAGUGUGUGCGAGUGUGCUCGUGUGAGUGUGUGUGUGCGUGUGGCGGGCGCGGGCAGCAGUCAGCUGGGCCUGAUUCAGUGCAUCGCUGGGGUGGGGGGGAGCUCGACUCUGAUCGGUCCCAGGGUCUCCCAGUGUCUCCGGGGGUGGGGCGGGCGUGGGGGGCUC
rnacentral:lncRNA from 1 species